UACGGGGGGAGCAAGCGUUGUUCGGAUUUACUGGGCGUAAAGGGCGCGUAGGCGGCCAGCACAAGUCAGUUGUGAAAUCUCCGAGCUUAACUCGGAAAGGUCAACUGAUACUGUGCGGCUAGAGUGCGGAAGGGGCAACUGGAAUUCCUGGUGUAGCGGUGGAAUGCGCAGAUAUCAGGAGGAACACCGAUGGCGAAGGCAGCUCGCUGGGACGGUACUGACGCUGAGGCGCGAAAGCGUGGGGAGCGAACAGG
rnacentral:rRNA from 1 species